rnacentral:misc_RNA from 1 species
UACGGAGGGUGCAAGCGUUGCUCGGAAUUAUUGGGCGUAAAGGGUAGGUAGGUGGUCUCACGCGUCUGGGGUGAAAUCCCUGAGCUUAACUCAGGAAGUGCCUUAGAAACGGUGGGACUAGAGUCCUGGAGAGGGUCGUGGAAUUCCCGGUGUAGCGGUGAAAUGCGUAGAGAUCGGGAGGAACACCAGAGGCGAAGGCGGCGACCUGGACAGGAACUGACACUCAACUACGAAAGCGUGGGGAGCAAACAGG